rnacentral:rRNA from 1 species
UACGUAGGGUGCGAGCGUUGUCCGGAAUUAUUGGGCGUAAAGAGCUCGUAGGCGGCUUGUCGCGUCGGAUGUGAAAGCCCGGGGCUUAACCCCGGGUCUGCAUUCGAUACGGGCAGGCUAGAGUGUGGUAGGGGAGAUCGGAAUUCCUGGUGUAGCGGUGAAAUGCGCAGAUAUCAGGAGGAACACCGGUGGCGAAGGCGGGUCUCUGGGCCGUAACUGACGCUGAGGAGCGAAAGCGUGGGGAGCGAACAGG